CAGCACUGCAUGUACAAGGAUGCCAGCUGCCGUUAAACCCCGAAGAAGAAGAAGUAGCUCUGUCCCAGAAUUCAUAGUACUCCACUGGAGUAUUGAUUUUAUGUACAAUUCCACGGGUAGACGCGAUCUGUACGGUCCGACUUUGCACGUGCGCAGUAAGGAUCGUGGAGUCCGAUCCGUAACUUUUUUUUCUCGUUUUUUUUCUACAUUAUAUUGAAAUGUUUCAUUAUUGCAAACAUUUUCUCUCAGGCGGAGAGAGGUCGUGGAGUGUCAGCCUAUGGUAUCUGAGGUCCAGGAGAGAUGACCUGCGCUGUUUUCCUCUGAGGAGGUAAGACUGUCCUAAUUUAUUUAUAAUUUAAUUAUUAUUCAAAUUGGGCAUGAUUUAUACUUAUAUUGAAGCAGUACGGUAUUUGCUGGGGCAAUCUCAUAAUUUUGACUUAGCAUGUAUUUUUUUUCUUUUUGUGCUAGAAAUAGGACUUCUAUAGUCUGAGAUUGUUAGGGAAAGAAUACUAAGGCAGGUCACAGAAUCUGAUUGGUCACAGAUUUUGGUGCAACUUAGAACAUAAUAUGUAUUUUCAUAUUGAUACUGGGUUUUGUGGGAGGUGUUUCUAUUCCAGUGCAAAAGACGUAUUCAUGAGAGAUUUUUGAAGUAGGUAGGUUUUGCUGUUGAUGACACAGUCAGGCAUAUAACAUGGUGCAGACUGUCCAAGACAGCUACCCAGGAAUUUUCUGUGUUGAAUAAAUGACAAUAUUUUGGUGAAGGUAUUGUUUAGAUAUCUGAACAUUUCAUCGGAUCACAAGCAAAGACCUCCUGGGGACCUUCAAUGCAUCCCUUGACAAAGUUGUGCCUGGCCUGCUGAAACUGUACUGGUCUAAGAAGGGAGCUCUUGGUGAGGAGAUGGAAGACCUCCUGGAUAAACUUGAUGAACAGGUGAGUGAAGUGCUCCUUUAUCUGACAUUUGCAGAAGAGAGUAUACUUUUCUCUUAACAGAAACUGAAAAAGAUGUUGGCUUCAAAUAAAACACAUCAGUGGACAUGUCCGUAAAAAUGAAUGUCAUGAGUCAUUGCUUUGUUCUUAUUUGGCAGUAUUUUAUUUAAUUUGUAAAAAGAAAGUAAAAUUGUUAACAUGGUGGUGUUGUUGUUUUUUU
ensembl:lncRNA